GCAACCCAUUCUCACUCCAAAGGCGUCAAAAACCGAAGCAUGGUCAAGCGCCCCUAGCGUCACUUUUAUGACGCCAAAUGUGCCUCUCGGCGUCGAAUAUCGAAGCACUACGACCUUCAUUGCUUUCAAUGGGAAACUUUUGGCGUCAGAAUUCGACACGAGGACAUGAGAUGUUUAUCGCUAUGAAAUCACGUUCAAGAAGUCUCAUUCAGCACACAUCGCGAUACUUGCUAUCAGUUCCACAGUUUGGCUGAAAAGACGUAAAGGCAGUCAGCCCAGUGGUGUUUCUGGAGAGGGAUUCCUUGAGAAAUGGAGAAGACAGAAAGCUGUGGAGGCAGAUAUAUGCAGCAGUAAGUAUGUGAUAGUUUGUCCCUUUUAUCAAACAUUCCUGCUGUUAUAAUUUGUACAGCAUUUGUUGUUUCUUAAACUGUUGCACUGUCCAAAUACCCACACUUGCCAUCUUUGCACUUGACCACUUGAUUACUUAUUUGACGUCUUUCCUGUAUUUUGCCUAGUGUUCGAGUGAGCAUGAUGACCACAAGUGUGUGUCGAACUUUUCAUGACCUGAUGACUGUGUUUCCCAGUCCUGAUCCUGGAGAAGCCCAGCACUGCACGGUUUUGGUGUCUCUCUUAUCUGCCUUGGAGUCUUCACUGAUGAGCUGAUGAGUUGAAUCAGGUCUAAAAUAUCAAGCUCAACAGCUCACUCAAGAGCCAACCCUCACAAACCUUCCUAAAAACUAAAAGAGCUAUUACUGAGUCUCAGCGAAUCUUGCCAUGAUCAGCUCUUCCCAGAAGAGAAGGAAGACCAAGGAAAGGAUUUGCUCAGGAUGAGGAAUGAAGACGGCCAUCUUGUGCUCAAACAAACAGAAGUCCUCUGAUGAUCUCAUCAGCCAAAUGAGGGGUUUUGACCAAGUGAUGCUCUUGAAAGGAGUGAAAGAAGAGGAUGUGCUAAAUUCUCUUCAGAGAAAAAGCUUCUCAAAAGGUCUCAAAACAGCUUGAAGAAUGGUCUGGGAUCUUAGGACUGAGAGAUCCUCUGGCUGAGAACAAGCUACACCACAUCAGUGCUGGAUAUCAACCACAAACUGUUUCCAGACAUGAGAGAAGAACACGAUGGGGAGAUGAAACCAGUUUAGAUGUGAUGAUGGGAAUCAUUAUUUUCUGGAACAGUAUCUCAUGUCUUAUAUGUAUCACAUGAUCUGUAUCACAGUUGACUGGAUGGGACUGUGUGACUUUUAAGGACAUUUCAUCACUCAUCUGUGUGAACUUU